rnacentral:tRNA from 1 species
GCGCCCUUAGCUUAAUUGGAUAGAGCAUCUGACUACGGAUCAGAAGGUUCGGGGUUCGAGUCCCUGAGGGCGCG